rnacentral:rRNA from 1 species
CGGUAAUUCCAGCUCCAAUAGCGUAUACUAAAGUUGUUGCAGUUAAAAAGCUCGUAGUUGGAUUUCUGCGGGGACGGAGCGGCCGGUCGCAACUUGCGACUCGAGCUAGCGCUUUCCCCGCAUCCUGCCGCGAACCGUGCUACCAUUAGCUUGGUGGCGCUGGGGAUCGGCUCGAUUACUUUGAGAAAAAUAGAGUGUUCAAAGCAGGCCACACGCCUUGAAUAAGUUAGCAUGGAAUAAUGACUAAGGACUUCGGUUCCAUUUUGUUGGUGUUCGGGACUGAAGUAAUGAUUGAUAGGGACAGUUGGGGCGGUCUGUAUUCCAAAGCGAGAGGUGAAAUUCUUAGACCUUCGGAAGACAAACAGCUGCGAAAGCGUUCCGCAAGGAUGUUCCCUUUGAUCAAGAACGAAAGUUGGGGGAUCGAAGACGAUCAGAUACCGUCGUAGUCUCAACUAUAAACUAUACCAGCUAGGGAUCGGUCAACGUUUAAUCAUUCGACUUGAUCGGCACCUUAUGAGAAAUCAAAGCAUCUGGGUUCCGGGGGGAGUAUGGUCGCAAGGCUGAAACUUAAAGGAAUUGACGGAAGGGCACCACCAGCCGUGGAGCCUGUGGCUUAAUUUGACUCAACACGGGAAAACUUACCAAGUCCAGACAUAGUAAGGAUUGACAGAUUGAUAGCUCUUUCUUGAUUCUGUGGGUGGUGGUGCAUGGCCGUUCUUAGUUGGUGGAGUGAUUUGUCUGGUUAAUUCCGUUAACGAACGAGACCCCAGCCUGCUAAAUAGCGCGGCUGAGCUUUGCUCGGUGCGAGCUUCUUAGAGGGACUAUGAUGCGCGAUAGCACAUGGAAGUUUGGGGCAAUAACAGGUCUGUGAUGCCCUUAGAUGUUCUGGGCCGCACACGGGCUACACUGGCGCCUGCAACGAGCAUAUCAGCUGGCCCGAGAGGGUCUUGGCUAAUCUUUUGAACCGGCGCCGUGCUUGGGAUUGACCAUUGCAAUUGUUGGUCAUGCAACGAGGAAUGCCUUGUAAACGCGAGUCAUCAGCUCGCAUUGAAUACGUCCCUGCCCUUUGUACACACCGCCCGUCGCUCCUACCGAUGAAUGUUCCGAUGAAAUUUUCGGAGAGCGCCAGAGAACGGGGCUCCGCCUUGCAGAUCUGGAGGCUCAAAGUCACUUAAAUCUGAACAUUUCGAGGAAGGAGAAGUCGUAACAAGGUAGCCG